GCCUUCGUGGUGUAGUGGUCAGCACGCUCGGCAUCUGUUCGAGAGGUCCGUGGUUCGAAUCUCGAUGAGAGCA
rnacentral:tRNA from 1 species